AGAUAUCGGGAGGACACACGGAUGGCGAAGGCAGCUCCCUGGGAUGCACCUGACGCUAAGAGGCAGAGAGCUAGCGGAGCGAACAGGUUUAGAGGCGGUGGUAGUCCACAGCUGUAAACGCUGGGUGCUAGGUGUGGGACGUAGAAGUUCCGCUCUGGAGCAAACAGUGAUAAGCACCCCGCCUCGGAUUUACGGUCGCAAGGCUAAAACUCAAAUGAAUUGACGCGGCCCCGCACAAGCAGCGGAGCGUGUGGUUCAUUUCGAUGCUACACGAAGAACCUUACCUGGGUUUGACAUGUACGUGGUACGAAGGCGAAAGCCUAAGGACCCUUCGGGGAGCGUACACAGGUGCUGCAUGGCUGUCGUCAGCUCGUGCCGUGAGGUGUCGGGUUAAGUCCCGUAACGAGCGCAACCCUUGCCUUUAGUUACAAGUGUUUAAGGGGACUGCCGGCGGGAAGCCGGAGGAAGGUGGGGAGGACGUCAAGUCAGCAUGGCCUUUAUGUCCAGGGCUACACACACGCUACAAUGGUCAGUACAAAGGGUAGCGAAGUCGCGAGGCGGAGCGAAUCUCAACAAAGCUGAUGGUAGUUCGGAUUGCAGGCUGCAACCCGCUUGCAUGAAGCUGGAGUUGGUAGUAACCGCGCGUCAGCCAUAGUGCGGUGAAUACGUACCCGGGGCUUGUACA
rnacentral:rRNA from 1 species